rnacentral:lncRNA from 1 species
GCCCCUGCUGGGGAGAGGGGGAGUUCUGGGAGGAAGACCCCCAGAGGAGCCCGGCAAUCAGACCCUAACCAGAGACGGAAGCCCCCUCCCACCUCUGAAGGGGCUCCUAGGCCGGCUCACACACGCCAGGUCAGGGCCGGGAGCCGAGAUGCAGGGAGGUCAGGGAACAGGGUUCCAUUCUGCCUGCAGGCUCAGGGAAUGUCUUUGGGGAAGUGGUCGCUGAGGCUGGCCUUGAACCUGAAUGGGAGCAGAGUCAGCAAAGCACAGCAGAGCUCAGCCCAUGGGGUGACCAGCGGUGAGCUUGACCCUCGCGAUUCUGACUCCCAGGGGCCAUCCGUCCCUUCUCCACGGCUGCCAUGGCUCCUGCGGCCUCAGCCUGCUCUGCGGACCCCCUGCUGGACCCACAGUCCAGCUGCUUGGUGUGGGCCCCACAGGCACCUGUGCGGGGUCAGGCCCUCCCAGUGGGGCUCCAGGGCCCUUGAGCCCUUCUCCUGGUGAUGGGGCUGGACUGUGGCCCUGGAGUUCCAUGCUGCAGGGUAGAUUGUGUCUGGACCCAGAGGUCAGGCUGGGAAGGGGUACCCGGAUGUGGGGUUGCCCCUGCCUGGGAAGUGUUCCUGGGCUGAGGCUGCUGGCUGGGCACAGGGGAAAAGUUCACCCUACACGGAAAGCACAACAAAUUCACACAGAUUUCCAAACCACUUCUGCGCAAGCCUAGAGGCUGAUGAUCCGGGGAUAUGCAGCCUUCUCCAAAGUGUGUGCAUGUGCGUGCGCGUGCACACACACACAAAGACACACAGACACACACACAUACCCUAAACCUUUCCUUCUUCUCCCAGUUCCGCCCAGUUGAGCUAGGAUGGCCCGGUCCUCCCCUCACUGUGAGGGCCCCUUCCUGCUUGGCCUCGCCUGGUACUGCCCCUUCAGGCCUGUCUGGCCCAGACCCCUACCCUGAUUUUUCAUUUCCUUUGCCAAAAGGCACAGGGGCUCGCAGAGGAAGGUGGGGGAGGCUGCAGAGUGGGGGCGCCUACUCUCCCCAGGGCCUCUGCAAGCUGCUCGUGUCUGGGCUCAGAGCUCCGGGGAGGUCGGCUGGGGCUCACAGCCAUGCUUCACCACUCCUUCCCAGGGUCCGGUUUCCCACACCUGAUUUUGUUUGGGAAGCGGGAGGAGUAAAGGCACAGGAUAAGGGGGAGGGGAGCUUGUGGGGCUGGGGCUGGUGUGCUGGGUUCCUGGGAGCCAUCUGAAGUUUGGGCUAGUGUAUCCCCUGCCGGGUAUUACUGGAGGCUGGGCCCAGCCCCCUGUCCCAGCCCCCUGUCCCAGCCCCACCGUCUGCAUCCGAGGCCCACCUAGAACAGUCUGGCCGACAGCCAGCACUUCCUGUCUGGGGACACCUCCAACCGGCACCCCUGCCUGCUGGGCCCUGGGGGAAGGGUGGCAUGGCCUGGGAAGGCACGGGGUGGGGGGGUGGGGGGAGCACGCUGAGCUUCCCAACAUUUCAGCCCCAGAUCUGCCCAGAGUGAGAAAGCAACACGCAGUCCACGCUUGGUACAUACCCAAAAAUACAUCAUCAUUUCGGAACCGCGGCUCCACAGCAGGCUCCCGGGGAGGAGGGGAGGAGACCCAAUCAGGGAAGCGGCCGCUGGCGGCAGGUUGGUGGGGGUAGGGGCUUGGUCCCCCAACGCUGGCACUCAGUUUAGCUGUCACUUGCAGCUGUCUUAGGAAGUGCGGCUCUCCUCUCUGCCUCCCGCUCGCUCCUGCUCACUCCAGGUCCUCUCUCCCUCUCCCUGUGUCUCUGCCUCUCGCUUUAUUUCCCCAGGUUGCUCAGCUCCGUGCCUGCUCUCCGCUCGCCCAUCGAUGGGGUCCUGCCCGGCACUGCCCUGUCGCAGUCACUCCUGCUGC